rnacentral:sRNA from 1 species
AGUUCUAGAAGAACACAUGAAGUCCAUCUCUGAAACACUUAGUCUGAUCAACUUAAGUACCCGUACAUGAUCUCCCAAUACUUAGCCUCGGUAACAAAGUGAACUUUACGCUCCUCCCAGUAAUCUGUCUUCUCUUUCAAACCCCAAACCUUACCCUCAUCAGCCUCACCCUCAGCCUCAGCUUCUUUCUCCUUUGCCCAAAUUUCAAUCUCUUCUUCUGACAUCAUCUGUGCAAUCUCAACGUCAGAAUCUUCUUCACUCUGCUUCUUCAUCUCCCACUUCUUGAACCAGUACUCGGACUCAUUCUUCAUUGCUACCGUCCUCUUCACGAACUCGAGGCGUUUAGCCUCCUGGAUCUUGUUUCCAGAUUCACCGCAGUGUGUGGUGAGGGCGGAGACAAAUAAGCAUUCUACAUGAAAUUGGAAUACAUUAUUAACUUAGUGACAUGAAGUUGUUAAAAUUUACAUGAAAUGUUACAUAACAAAAACAAAACUCUCAUAAAUGAAAAA